CAGAACGAGUCUGACGGUGAGGGACGAAGCCNUGGGUCACAAACCGGAUUAGAUACCCGGGUAGUCCAGGGUGUAAACGCUGCUUGCUUGAUGUUAGUUGGGCUACGAGCCCAACUAGUGUCGGAGAGAAGUUGUUAAGCAAGCUGCCUGGGAAAUACGGUNGCAAGGCUGAAACUUAAAGGAAUUGGCGGGGGAGCACAGCAACGGGUGGAGCGUGCGGUUUAAUUGGAUUCAACGCCGGAAAGCUCACCGGAGGCGACGGUUACAUGAGGGCCAGGCUGAUGACCUUGCCUAAUUUUCCGAGAAGUGGUGCAUGGCCGCCGUCAGUUCGUACCGUAAGGCGUUCUGUUAAGUCAGACAACGAACGAGACCCUCACCAUUAGUUGCAAUUUAUUCCCCAGGGAAUGGAGCACUCUAAUGGGACCGCUGGCGCUAAGUCAGAGGAAGGCGAGGGCAACGGUAGGUCAGUAUGCCCUGAAUCCUUCGGGCUACACGCGCGCUACAAAGGCUAGGACAAUGGGCUUCGACACCGAAAGGUGAAGGCAAUCCUGAAACCUAGUCGUAGUUCGGAUUGAGGAUUGAAACUCAUCCUCAUGAAGCUGGAAUCCGUAGUAAUCGCGGGUCAACAUCCCGCGGUGAAUAUGCCCCUGCUCCUUGCACACACCGCCCGUCAAACCAUGCGAGUUGGGUUUAAGUGAGGAUGUAGUAUUUUGCUGCGUUCAAACUUAGGCUUAGCAAGCGGGGUUAAGUCG
rnacentral:rRNA from 1 species